AUCCAGCUGAAAAGUCAUAAAUAGGACGAAACGUGCGUCCUGGAU
rnacentral:hammerhead_ribozyme from 1 species